rnacentral:lncRNA from 1 species
GAGGAAAUGAGUAACAGAAGGAAAAAAAGAAUAGAGAAAAAAAAGAAAACAAGGUUGCUGUGGGCUGACAGAGACUUAAGAAUAGCUAUUAUUUGGAUCAGCCUUCUGAAUUCAUAUACCUGGGUGCAGAGGUUUGACAGGAUCGUUGUCAGUCUCGUAUAGCACUGUCCUUUGGCAUGAUAAGAAUAUCCUCUUUUCCCGUUACUUUAAGGGCAAGAUCUGCCUGUCAAGGCUGAUUCUGCACUUUGAAGAAUCAUCCUUUAUACCUCCCUCUCUUUCAUGCCCUACAUCCUAUCUAUCACCGAACAUUGUUACCUCUUCCCCCUAAAUAACCUGUCUCAGCCCCUCUGUACCUAUUGUUACCUCCUCCCUUCUCUUCCCUGGACCAUUGCAAAGCCUCCUAAUUGGUUAUCAUGUUGUUGCUUUUGUACCCCUCAAAUCCCAUUCUUUAUAUUGCAGCCAGCCUAAUCUUUCUAAAAUGUAAAUCUGACUAUGUCAUUCCCUAGCUUAAAAGCCUUAAAUGGGUCUCCAUCGAGAAGUAAUAAAGUCAAUAGUCUUGAACCAGGCUCUUGGUGACAAUGCAGUCAGUAAGUACUGAUUAAAUGUUACCUCAUGUUAUUGCCUGUCUUCGACUACUCUCAAUUACUUACCCAGUGCUUCAGCUGCAAUAUAGUUUUGUAAAACACUUUGUUCUUCCAAACCUUUGUGAUUCCAAAUAAUCCUGUUCCUGUUGCCUAAAAUGCAAAGCCCAAGCUCUUUUCUUCUUCAUCUUAAGGCAUUCCCAAGUCCUAGAAAUAAAAAUCGUUUUAUUCCACUUCCCAGGCUACUGUAUGCAUGUGUUCAUGAAUAUGCAUUGGGAAUGUCUGUUUAUAAGGCUUUACUCUCAAUUGAACUUGCGCUCUCUAAGGCAAGGAUCUUGACUUGUUUAUCACAGUGCCAAUUAAAUACCUGGCAUUCAGUAAAUGUUAUUAAAUAAAUGAACAAAGGGGAAGACUCCAUUCUUUGAGACUCCUUGUGUGUUGUGGUUCUACCUUUGCUGGUGAGAGUCGUUUCUACUUGUGUCCCAUCUUCCUGCCUAGGUUAUAACAUCUUUUCUAGAUGGGCAAUGGACCCUUAUGUAUUCCUUACGUUGCAUCAGCUUAGAACUGUAAUACAGUACAACUACAGCACUUCCUACCUUCUACUGUGGUUAGUUGUGCAUGUGACUAGCCCACCUACUAGACUGCAUUUUUUUCAAGGCAGGAGCUGCCUUGUUAAUUUGCUUCCCAUUCUUCAACAUAUAUUAGUGACAUAGCAGAAGAAGCACUGGAUUGGUAUUGGUAGGAGUCUUGGGGCCCAGUAUUCCAAACACAUGCUUUAUUGUAAAGAGGCUUUUUCCUUGAGUCUGGUAACUGUACCCAAAAUUGUACCCAAAAUUAUUUAAAGCCUGUAGGACCCAUGUUAUAACAAAGUGAUACAACUUUUUUUUGUAGCCUAUUGGUUUGAAUUUAAGAGCAAAUGCUGUACUUGGAUUGUAAGAGCAUGACUGAUUUUCAGUGAUGUAGUUUGAGAUCGUUGGAGGGAAACUUGUUCUGGUGAGGCCCAGCCCGUGUGUAUCUGGCUGUUCCCCAUAGGAAUUGCAACUCAGCCCAAGUUCAUGCUAUGAAAGGUUGCCUUUUGAAUAUCAGUUUCAUGAAGAGGCUUUCCCUAAUUGCCCUCUGUACAGGAUUUGCUUUUCUUGAGUGGCAUUACUCUAUCCUCAGCUCCUCUAACUAUGCCAGGUACAUGAUAGGAGGCCCCAAAAUGUUUGUUUCCUUAUCCAGAGCAGCCUGCGGUAACAGGGAACUACUCUGCUCUGCUCUUAAACCUGCUGAAACUCUCUGAUAGAACUGAGACCGUUCCCCUCCAGGAGAAGUUCCCAGAGCCAUUCAGAGACAGACAGACUGGGUGACAGCUCUUACCACCCCUCCUUACCCCCUGGCCUACCUGCAACUGCACCUGCCUAGGGUAGUGGGAACAGUGACCCUGAUUCUACCUCAAACCACAGACCCUCUUGUUCCUACCUGCCAUUAGGUCUCACAGAGGCUGCAGGUGGCAAUAUAGCUUACUUUUGUUCAUUUGUAUUUGAAAUGCCUUUUUCUCUUUGGAAGAACUCUUUAAGAAAAAAAAAAGGUAUCUUCUUUUAUUUCCUCCUUCAGGACUAGGGAAUUUGUCUCUAGUAGAUAGAAGGGAAUUCUCUAAACAGAUUGAAAUAUAGUGGAGCAUGGAGACUUGCCUUCUCUCCUUAACUCUAACUUCACCAGCUGUGUUCAUGGACAACUGACCUUGGUACCCUGAAUCUUAGUGUCCUCAGCUGAGCAAUGGGGAUAUGCAUGCCUUUUCUGCUAAACUCACAGUGAGUUAACCUGUGUCUUGCUGGAAAGAAUCAGGGUUCUAAUAAUCAACCUUUACAUAUAAUGUCUUGCAGAAAGCAUCAGCCGCCACGUACCUUGGGUGCAACCCAGUUCUCACUUCCUGCAGCUGCUGUCACAGAUGGUGAUGACCAAUGAGAAGACUGAUGAUCCAUAGGCUCUGUUACAUUGCAGUAAUGUUGAGUGUACAGCGUGGAGAGAUUUUACAUAUGCAUGCACUCAUAUAACCACCAUAUCAACAUAUAGAAUAGCUCCAGCACCCAAGCAAUUUCACUCAUGUCCCUCUCAGUUUGUACUUCCAGAGACAUCCACAAUUCUGACCAUCAAUUUGUUUUGCCUGUUCUUGGGCCUCAUAUAUAGGAAUAACAUAGUAUGUUCUUUUUGCC